rnacentral:rRNA from 1 species
AGACUUUGAUCCUGGCUCAGAACGAACGCUGGCGGCAGGCCUAACACAUGCAAGUCGAACGCGUGCCUUCGGGCACGAGUGGCGGACGGGUGAGUAACGCGUGGGAAUUUGCCUUGGGGUACGGAAUAACCGCGGGAAACUGCGGCUAAUACCGUAUACGUCCUUCGGGAGAAAGAUUUAUCGCCCCAAGAUGAGCCCGCGUCCGAUUAGGUAGUUGGUGAGGUAACGGCUCACCAAGCCUUCGAUCGGUAGCUGGUCUGAGAGGAUGAUCAGCCACACUGGGACUGAGACACGGCCCAGACUCCUACGGGAGGCAGCAGUGGGGAAUAUUGGACAAUGGGGGAAACCCUGAUCCAGCCAUGCCGCGUGAGUGAAGAAGGCCUUAGGGUUGUAAAGCUCUUUCGGUGGUGACGAUGAUGACGGUAGCCACAGAAGAAGCCCCGGCUAACUCCGUGCCAGCAGCCGCGGUAAUACGGAGGGGGCAAGCGUUGUUCGGAAUUACUGGGCGUAAAGGGCGCGUAGGCGGAUGAUCAAGUCAGAGGUGAAAGCCCUGGGCUCAACCUAGGAGGUGCCUUUGAAACUGAUUGUCUUGAGUACGGGAGAGGAUAGCGGAAUUCCCAGUGUAGAGGUGAAAAUUCGUAGAUAUUGGGAA